GCUGCUGUAGCCCAAUGGCAGGAGGCAAUUGAUUUAGGAUCAAUACAGUGGGGGUUCGAAUCCCUUCAGCAGUA
rnacentral:tRNA from 1 species